rnacentral:tRNA from 1 species
GGCUUGUAGCUCAGGUGGUUAGAGCGCACCCCUGAUAAGGGUGAGGUCGGUGGUUCAAGUCCACUAGCUACCA